CUCCGUCGGCGAACGGUGACAGCGCCCGGUAUCUCUCUCUUACUCCUCCCCCACCUCCCGUUCCUCAUUCGCCGUCGCACAAUCCGUUCCCCUCUCUCUUCCCCCGUUCAUCGCAGCCCACGGCCGCCCCCGCCUCGUCGCUGCCCCCUUUCCCCAAUCCCUCCUUCCUCUUCCCCUUUCGCGACAGCUCUCCCGCUUCCCGCUUCCCCGACACCGCCCCCCGACUCCAUAUGUAGCUGACGCUACAUAUAAUUUUUUUAGUGUAGUUGAAGUUAUUUACAUGAGGAAUCUUUCUCAUAAAUUAAGUUCCUUUAUCAGCAUAGAACCAAAUAAACUAGUAGCAUUUCUUGAUUGAGGCAGUUUUCUUAUCUCUUUAUUCAUUUUUCAGAAAAUUUAUUGCCUUUCUCUGGUCUUCCAGCUAUGUUGUGUUUUUUUGUCAAGUUGCUCAUCAUCAUCAACAAUGCCUUUUUUAGCAUGUUGAACCUCACAAAUUACUGUUGUUAAUUAAUUAAACAGUGUCUUUUCUACUUACCAGUCUUGCUAGACUUUUAACUAGAUCAUCUCUUUACAUUCUUGAUGAAAUGGAUCAAUUACUUUGGAAGUGCUCAUUUGAAAUGUUUCAGAUUUUCGUUAUAGGACAUUAGUGAAACUGAUGUUAGAGAAAACAUUAUGCAUCUUCCUGUUAUUCUGAAUUCUGUAGUACCAUUUGCAAGUCAUUGAUGUUCAACCUACAAGUAUAAACAUGAGUAUCGUCUGUAUAAGAUCAACAUGGUAAAUGCCUUUGCCACUCUUAUGCAGCAUAUUUGAUGAAGAUACAUUUGAUAUGGUUUUUAAAUUGCUACAGGGAUAUAGGAUGCUUGGUAGUGUCUAAACGCACCAACUACAAUAGAAAAAUAAGUGGAAGAUUGUGUUUGUGCGCUGGUGUUAUAUGAUGCCAUUAUUUCAGUGGUGGAGAUUUGCUUGGAUGUGAGCAUGAUAAUAAGUAACUAAUCAUAGGUACUCUUUAUCAACUCUCAAACACCAUUUAGAGACUUAUCUCUGAAAGAAAUGGCUGAUUGGAGCUGAAUGCAUGUGGAUUAACAUGAGUGGUAAAGGAAUGUUGUCUGAGACAGAUGAUUAGUUGAAAGUUUUCAACAUCCUUGAUUUGAGGUAGAAGAGGAAUUUGGACUUGGAGAGGGCAGAAAUAAGAUUACUUUUCUUGUAUUUUUCUGCAAACGGUACUGGAUACUGCCUCAAAAGACUAAUGUUUUCGGUGCAGAAGAGGCUCUUGUGCCUUCUCUCUUGUAACAAGUCCAACAUCCAUCUUUCCUCCUAUCAACUCUGCAGUCUGUUUAGCUUUUCCACUGUCAAAGAGCACAGUUCAAAUCAUAGAUCCAACUUUACGUUGGUCGACCCUCUUGAGUCAUGUGAACUUUCCUCAAAAGAGGCUGCAAAAAGGGCCAAGGAUAGCAUCUGUGAAAAAGAACUUUCAAGUUCAAGUCUUUCCAUUGAGUUCUUUAAGCAGAUCGGUUGGAGUGAUGCACAAGUCAUGAAGCUUAUGCAGAGGGAACCCAAGUUUCUACGUGCUAACGUAGAGACUGUCCUGAAGCCCAGGAUGAGAUCUUUGCAGGAUAUGGGAUUUUCUGACACUGAAAUAGUUCAGCUGGUUUCAUCAUGUCCGGGUCUGCUCUGUUUUCGUGAUAUCCAACCAAGGAUCAACUUCUGGAGGUCACUACUUGGUUCUAAUUAGAGGUUAAUUAAAGCCUGUAGGAGGACCAUGUUUCUCCAUACUUCUAGCUUGGCUCGAAAGAUUGAGCCCAAUAUAUCUCUCUUGAUGGAAUGUGGCAUCAGUGAGCAAUGCAUCACGCAGAUGGUGGUGGCAGUACCGAGUUUAUUUUGUCGAACGAACAAAUGUAUCUACGAAUCUAUCAAACAUGUUGAGGAGUUGGGUGUGUCACACGACUGUAAAUUGUUCCCUCGUGCACUUUAACAGUCAUGACCGUGAGCAGGUCCAGGUUUCAUGCUACUUUUGCAACCCUGAUGAGCUUUGGGUGGUCCGAACCAGACAGCAUUGCUGUAUUCAGGAGGCAUCCAGUCAUUUGGAAAUACUCAAAGAAGAACUUAUCUGACAAGAUGACAUUCCUGAUGAAGGAAGCUGGUUGUGAGCUGACAUAUAUCAUUGGUCAUCCCGUGCUUCUUACAAUAAGCUUGGAGAAGAGGUUGAGACCUCGAUAUGAAGUUAUGAAUUUUCUUGAUCAGAAUAAAUUGCUGGAUAAAGGGCGUAACCUGCUAUCUGUCAUGCAGCUAUCUGAAGAGAAGUUCAGAAACAAAUUCCUUUUCCUGCUAGGCAAGGAGAAAUUUAUUGCUCAAUAUGAUUCCUAUGUUGUUGCUGUGCAGGGAAAGCACCAUGUUGUUGCGGUAAACUAGGACUGCAAGUACUUCCUUAAGACAAAGUGUCAACCUAUUGCAUGCUGACUGCAAAUUAAUCACUUUAUAUUUGUGACAAUUUAAAUUCUGCAAGAGUUUCUUGGAGUAUAACUUCCAUGUUGAUUUGGUGAUUGUUCUUCUAUUUAUUUUUUCUACAACAAAAGGUACUGAUUCUUUUAUGCUGAUGUCUCAGGAAUUGGUGUGGGGGAAAGUCAAUUCUUGAGAAAGAUGUACAACAUCCUCAUAACUCGCCUAACAGCACAAGGGUUAAUCGCCUUGGUGACUACUUCUAAUGCCUUCGUACCCUUAGCUUCCAAUAGGCGACUCGUCCUCCCUCAUGAACCAGUUAAGAAAUCUUUGGAGGAGGCACCAUGGAAACUUGAUGUUCAUUUGUGACAAAGUUAUCAUCUUAGUAACAAACUUGAAAGUGGUUAUGAAAGACUACUUUUAUUGGGAUGCAUCAACCUUGCAGCAAAUGUACAACAUCCUCAUAACUCGCCAAACAGCACAAUGGUUAAUUGCCUUGGGUGACUACUUCUAAUGCCUUCGGACCCUUAGCUUCCAACAGGUGACUCGUCCUCCCUCAUGAACCAGCUAAGAAAUCUUUGGAGGAGGCACCAUGGAAAUUUGAUGUUCAUUUGUGACCAAGUCAGCUGGCAACGAUGGUUAUCGACAUCCAUCCGAAGUAAUUUUUUGAAUAGAUUAACCAUUGGUCAAAUUCUAAAAGGUUAGCUAUAGUUGAAGAUGAUACGUGCAUAUCUAUUUGUUGAAGCUCCAUAACUAAUAAUAAAUGGCGACUAAGUCUUAAAUAUAAUUUAUAUUUAAAUCAUCAAAUCUUAUAUUUGCUGGUUUAGUUUGUGAAUGGAAGGAUAAUGAACUAGUAAAAGUAGGACUGCUGGUUUAGUUUGUUGAAGCCGUUCCCUGCAAGUUUUAAUUAAAGCUUAUCUCAACAGUAUGUUCUUAAUACAUGCAGUACCAAGAGGUCCUUUAUUUGAAUGUUGACUACAUAUGUUUUCUUACACAGUGCAUAAAUAGUUCGGAUAUUAUGGCUUUUGAUAUUAUUCUUAUUGUUUACACUUGUUGGAUUUAUUGGCAAAUUCUCACUGAUUUAGAUUAAUAGCUGAAG